UACGAAGGGGGCUAGCGUUGCUCGGAAUCACUGGGCGUAAGGCGCACGUAGGCGGCUUUUUAAGUCAGGGGUGAAAUCCUGGAGUUCAACUCCAGAACUGCCUUUGAUACUGAGAAGCUUGAGUCCGGGAGAGGUGAGUGGAACUGCGAGUGUAGAGGUGAAAUUCGUAGAUAUUCGCAAGAACACCAGUGGCGAAGGCGGCUCACUGGCCCGGUACUGACGCUGAGGUGCGAAAGCGUGGGGAGCAAACAGG
rnacentral:rRNA from 1 species